GUAGGUGGCAAGCGUUGUCCGGAAUUAUUGGGCGUAAAUCGCGCGCAGGCGGUUCUUUAAGUCUGAUGUGAAAGCCCACGGCUCAACCGUGGAGGGUCAUUGGAAACUGGAGAACUUGAGUACAGAAGAGGAAAGCGGAAUUCCACGUGUAGCGGUGAAAUGCGUAGAGAUGUGGAGGAACACCAGUGGCGAAGGCGGCUUUCUGGUCUGUAACUGACGCUGAGGCGCGAAAGCGUGGGGAGCAAACAGGAUUAGAUACCCUGGUAGUCCACGCCGUAAACGAUGAGUGCUAAGUGUUAGGGGGUUUCCGCCCCCCUUAGUGCUGCAGCUAACGCAUUAAGCACUCCGCCUGGGAGUACGGCCGCAAGGCUG
rnacentral:rRNA from 1 species